UUUUUUCAAGAUUUAAUGGAGCUACAUUUUUAGUAGUAAACGACAUGCCACGUGCUGUACCCCUCCAGGCCUCCACACUCCAGCGAGGAGGUUGACGACGACGAGCAAGUGGGGUGGUGGCCAUUGGCCUCUCUCUCUCUCUCUCCGUGUCUCCGGCUAGAUCUCCGCACUGGAUGCUGUCCUACUGCUGUUAGCAUGUUUUGUUACACUUUUGUCGUGGCGCGGGAGCCUGAGCGCGGAGCACGGGGAUCCAAUUACGACGGAGGUGAGGUGACGACGACAUCAUCCGCCAUCGCCGGAUUCCUCUUCUUCCUCCAAUCCUCCCCCACGCGGAACGCGUUCCCUGGACUGGAGGAGCGACGGGACGAUCCGAGUCACGAGUCCACGGAAUGGAAGCAACAAGCAACAGACUAAUGACAUCAUUUCUUUACUUGUGGUACGUCGAUCGAAUCCUUGCUUCCUUCAUCAACGCGUACUGUGUACUGUUCCAGCAGCUGGAGCUAGCUAGCUAGGAUGAGCGCCGUGUAUGAUGAUGAACAUUGAAAAAACCAUCAUCCUCCCCCAGUUCCAGCUAGAUUGAUCUCAUCUGAUCCGACCUGAUCCUCCGUUCGUGUAGAGACUGGGCCCCACGCCGAGAUUUUUUUGUAUAAAAAAACUAAUUGACUCCAUUAUCUACUGGCUUGCUUCUCUCUCUCAAGCAUCAGGAUAUAUAUGUCGCUUGAUGCUACAUUAGGAUUAUUUUGUCUAUAUAUAUAGGAUUUGCUAGAGUAAAUAAAUAAAAUUAUAAAAAACAAAGACGCAUGAGUCGCAUGGAGCAUUCUGCCACCGUGUUACUUUUUAUACAUGUGGUGUAUAUACCUGCGUGCAUGACCUCACUUAUACAGUAAUCAAGCCCUGUUCUUGAUCCGAAAAUCUCUCGCCAAGAAAGUCAAUUUGGCUGUCCAAAGGCGGCGGCUUCAUCCAGCUCUGCCACUGGAAGAAGCUAGCACAGCCGAGCAUGCCCAAAAAGAACUAAAAUAGAAUCAACAUUCUAAGUACAUCUGUCCCCAAGAUCAGCUAACGCAUGAGUUACUUUGUCACUUUCUCAUGGUUUGUAUUUCACCGUGUAAGCUACAAACUCCGAUGCUAACAACAUUUUUCCUUUCCAAACCAGACCGCCUGAACCAGAUAGAUCAAAUGUUGUGAAGUCAGGGACUCUUUAAUUUCACCAUCAGCACUGGAUGGUUUUGCUAUAUAUCUUGAUAUAUAUGGUAUGUCUACAUUCGUAGCUUUUACUAGAUAUAUAGUAUAUCUAAAAAAUUCAAAACAACUUAUAUUUUGGAAUGGGUGGAGUCACAUUAAUAAAACAAACAAAUUCACCGUGAAAUAUAUUUUCCCUCACGAGCUUAAUAUAUAAAACAUAGAUGGUCAACAAAAUGGAAGAUGAAGCUUAAUAUAUCUAGAGCUCAUCUGGUAGACUCUGGCGAGGAACACAAAAAUCCUCUACUACAUAAUUCAGGGAUCCAGACAAGGAAAAAAAGUUUCUAACAUUCUACUACCUAAUUCCAUAAACCAAAAAAAAAAUCAAUUCUAGCAAAGGAAUGAAAAUUAGUUUCUCUCUUCCGUACGUACCAUCCGGUUCGAUGGAAUGGAACAAAAUGAUUCCCUCUCUCUUAUAGCAAUCUGAAGCUUCACUUCCAUUUGACAUUUUCUUGCGUUCUUUCUGCAAUAUUCCUCUUGUAUUCCUCGUCACCUUCUCGUCUUCAUCUUUGCAGGAAAAGAAAAGUAAGAACAGGAAAACAUAAAUGAGUUCAAAUUGGCAAACAGAUCCUUUCAGACUACAACGUCUGCAUGACUAUUAUAUCUGGUCUAAGUACAUUCUUAGCGGCCAGGGGCAAAACAGAACAUGUUGAAAGCUGAAAUGUGCAUGAUCAAAACAAUGAAGCUAUAUAUAUGUACGUACCUGCGGACUUCAGAACAAGUGCGCAUAAAAAGAAUAUGGCUCCUUGGUGUAGUCCAUAUAGCCCUUUAACCCAUCUUCUGGUGCUUCCAUGGCAAACACCUUCAUGCGCUGGACAUGCUGGACCUUCCCCCAUUCAGGGGUGUCAUACUGCAAUGAUAUCAGCUUGAACAGGCUGGGCCUGCAAUGUACAUUCAAUUUGCUUAGCUCUGCCUCUUGCAAGUAUGUUGGCAGCGUCUCAGUGCACAAAUCCAUCCACGCAGCUGUUCUGAGUGACGGCAGAUUCUCUAGUAGCUUCAGCAUUGGGCAACUGCAGAUGGUGAUCUUGUGCAGCCUUGGGCAGCUGCUGACACUCUCUAGCAUUGGGUUGUCCCAUAACUUGAGCUCAGUGAGGGAAGGGAAGCUCUCUACGGUGACCAGGUUCAGCACAUUUCUUAGGUCCAAGAGCGUCAGCUGAGUUGCAUGGCGUGAGAGUCCAGGAGGAAGACGAUGCAGUUUGCAGCCAUCGAUCGUAAGCCCCUCCAGAGCAGGCAUUGCCGGUAUCUGCUGCUCCCAGUCCCACUCUGUCCAUCCUGACAUGCCCUCGAAACCCAGUGCAGUCAGCUUGGGAAAUGCAAAGCCAGUACCACGAGAGAUAAGACUAGCAGGCAACUGCCUACUCAUGAUCAAGUCUGUCACUACUCCUGCUGCUGCAUUGUCCUGGCCAUCGAUUGAGGGAGUGAGGACGAAACCAUGCCCAAUACAUUGGAUGGCCGGAGCUUGAUCGACCCAGAGGUAGUCCAAGAAGGGGAGCUGGCCCAGUCCAUAUGGCAGCUCGUCGCAACACAAGUAGCCCUCCAGGACCAACCGCCUUAAGCCACGGAAUAAGGCUGGCAUCAUCCAGGCCCACUGUGGUAAGCCCAACCCAUAGUAACCUUUGAUGACAAGUUCUUCUAUGCAGGUAGGAGGACAUAGGUUACCCAACACUUGCUCAGCUCGGUCUUGCUCCUCCCUGCUGAUGUUGCCUCGUUUGAGCUCUCCGUUGUCUCCGAGCUGACUUGCAAAUCUCAUGUUCAGCUCUUCUAGGUGCUCUUUGUUGCAAAGCUUUGCUCUAGCAGCCACUGAACCUGAAGGUGCCUUCUCCAAACCUAUUAUAUCUAGGAAUCUGAGCUUUGUCAGAGGCCCUAACUCUUCCAAGCUACACCAACCUUCUGCGCCAUCAUCCGAAUGGGUUGGAAAGCCCGCCAUUAUGACCAGAUCUCUCAGCUUUCCAAAACCACGAGGAACUGAGCUUAUCUUGGUGCCUCUAAUGUGGAGUAGCCUUAGCUUCCGUAGCUUCAAGAUGCUAUCAGGAAGCCGUGAGAUGUUGCUACACAUCACAAACUCAAUGCCUUGCAAAAACUGAAGAUCUCCUAUGACUUCAGGGAUCGUGGAAAUGCUUGUAGCGCGAAGGCUCAAGCGUCUCAAAUGUUUGAGGUGGCUUAUGGAGUCUGGCAGCUCAUCAAGAUUUACAUUAUCUAGAUACAAUACUCUUAGGCAUGAUGAAAGGUUGCUCCAUAACUCCUUUGAAUUAACCACAGUGCUUCCGAAUAACAUCAGUGUUCUAAGGGAUACCUGUUUUCGCAGAAUGCCGGGCUCUACCACCUUGUUUGAAAUAGAUAGGCGACGGAUCUUUGGAGCAGCAGCAAGAGCGAUAUUGGCAUCCUGGCCCUCACCAACAAGGACCCCUUCAUGUUUUGUUAUGUACUGGGCAAAGGAGCGGAUGACAUCAUGCAUGGUGCAUGCUGACUGACCGUAGGCCCCUUUCUUCGGUUCUAAGAGGUUCCUUGAGACCAACUCUCUGUAGUGCUUUAGCCCCACAUCUUCAAAUAGCUCUGAUGACGCUGUCGUUUUGUUGUUCACGUAUUCUUCUGAGAUCCAGAGAUUGACUAUAUCUUCGCGUCUGAUCGGUUCAUUUGUAGGGAAAAGUGAGCAGUAUACAAAGCAUUGUUUCAAGUCUGGAGGCAAGUCCGCAUAACUCAAGUAGACAGCCUUGUUGAUAUCAUCGUCGAUUCCUGAUAUCGACCAUGCGAAGUGGUCACGGACAUGCUCCCAAGCAUCUCUUGUUUUUCUGAUGUGGAACAAGUGCCCUCCAAGCACCUUAAUUGCCAGCGGCAAUCCCUGGCAUUUUUCCACAAUCAUCAUCCCAACAUCCUUUAAUAAUCCAUCAACCUCAACUUCAUCAAUUUCAUCAGACACUACCUGUCAUAAAAAUGUGUCAUGUUAGAGGAUGCAACAGAGGAGAGUGCCUAGGAAUAUAAAGAGUUUUUAGUUUGUCCCAAAUUAAACUAUUUUAAGUUUAACCAAACCUUUCAAAGAAUAAUACUUUUUACAGUACCAAAUGAGUAUAAGUACAUCUACAAAGAAAUUUUAUAUUGGAUGUCAAAAUAAUAAAUACUAUAUUGGCCGGUUCACGCCACAAAGACCAAAAUUUGGUAGAUAUCAUUAUAAAAUUACAGUUAAUUGUGAGACAUGAUAAAAAUAUUUUAUUCACUUUUUAAAUCCAUGGAGAGAAAAAUGGUAGUAAAUGUUAUUUUUUUGCCCUAUGAGAAAAACAAACCCAACUUUCCAACGGUGCCUUAUAUCUGUUCAGGUUCACAAAGCCGUUCUUCAGCUUCUCCUACCAAACAACUAUUUUGUAACAACUUCUCCCUAGAAGUCACCAAAACCAUACUCCCACAUGCUCAUGAACGCUGGUGAAGCUAAAUAUACUAGCUUCUCCUAGCUCCCUCUCUGCUAUCUUUCAUGAGAAACUGUUUUACCAAACAUUUUUCAAAAACAGCUUCAACUUCAAGUGAAGCUGCUCAUAGAACCGAAGAAAAAAAUUAUUUCAGUAGUGAAACUGAGUUAUACCAAACAGCUCUUCUUAAUCUCAAAUCACUACAAUAUACGAUAGUGCAACUGAAUUUAUUUUUUAUAGGAAAAAUAAAUAGGUAAAAAUUACUGACCUGCUUUUUUAGUAGGACCCAAGCAUCAUCGCCUUCUAGCUUGCCAACUCGGUGGAGAUGGCGCGCAUUCAUUUUGCGAGCGACGACUUCAUUUCUAGUGGUCACCAACACUCGACUCCCCGGUGCAGCAGCGUCUGCAAGCGGUGCUCUAAGAAGGCCACUCCACACGUCCUCGCUCCACACAUCAUCCAUCACCACUAGCAGCUUUUUUCGCCGCGCCGCCUGCUUCAGAGCACAUUCCAGCAGGGCCCUGCUGUCACUCGCGGCGCUGCCACCACCGCCAUAGCUGCCGCCAUGAAGUGCGGCAACGACGUUCCGUAGGACACUAAGAUGGUCAACUCCCUUGUUGAUGCUCAGCCAUAUCCGCUCAUCAAAGCUCUGCUCCACCUUGCCGUCGUUGAACACCAUCCUGGCAAGGGUGGUCUUGCCGAUGCCGCCGGCACCUGUGAUAACAGCGGAGACAGUGACAUUGCCGCUGCUGGUUCUGUGGGCAUCAGUGUCCACCUCCUGCAGAAGCAGGGCGAUGAGGUCCCGCGCGUCUUUCUCGACCUUGUCGCCCACGACACCAGAUCGGACGAUGCUGUCCGACGAGCCCAACAAAGAGCUUGCAGCAGCUCUGUUGGUGGAGUGAAGAAUGGAAGAGUGGAGCUCCCGGACGAUGAACCCAAAGCGGGAGCUCCUAUCCGCGAUGUCGCGCAGCCGUUUGUUGAGCGCCUUGAUCUUCCUCCCGAUCUCAUGUGCGGCGACGGGGCUGUGGAAGCAAAAGAUGUUGAAGCACCUUGAAGAAGCAGUUCUGCUUGGAGCUGCUAUGGGAUCCUCCUCUCCACCACCAGGACCCUCCAUGAUCUGGCAGAGGUCGAGGAUGUCGUCGACGUCGUACAUGGCAUCCUUGAGCUCCCUGACCCACCUCUCCACAGCAUUGCUUCGGAUGCGUGCCAUCUCAGCAUCCUCCAUUAUGGCACUCAGGUCGCCGAGCAUCGUUUCGAGCUUGGUGAUCUCGCCAGGGAUGCCGAGGAGCAUCUCCACCUCCUCCUUCGCUAUGCCCAUCAGGAUGCCGGCCAGCUUGGCCGCGAAUGCACCCAGCACCACCGCCAUGGUCAGGAGGAAGUGGUAGCUUGUUACCUAGCUAGCAGCAGCGAAACAAGAGGAGGAACAGGUUUGUGCUCCAGCUCCAGCUCCAGCUGACCAGCUCCACUCUCUGCUGACUUGGGAGGGAGACGACGUUCUAUAUACAAGCAAGAGUGGACUGCUGGAUGCAAGAUUACAAUACGGACACAUACAUGAGACCGUGAGAGUGAUGUUCAACGCAUAGGGCCACGCAACAGCCAUGUUUAUCGGCCUGUAGUCAGAACGUAAAGAUCGAGGAAGUCUUUCUACUCAUCACCCCGGAAGGGCGGAAGAGCACGUGGACUGCCAGUGCUCUCCUCUCUAGCGAUGUCAACGGGAAAUUUCCCGUAAGGGAACACCACCCCAUCCCCGUCCCCGAGGAUUCUAUACGGGUCCCCGUCCCCGACGAAGGCAUGGGGUAUGCUCAACUGAAGGAGGAAGCCGGCGGCCAAAGAAAAACGAAUAUAUAAAAAAAAAAACUAGAUCGGAGGUUGUAGCGGGACCACAGGAGUAUCACCUUCUCUGUGUAGGGAAUCAGCUCGCCGGAAGCUCAUUGGCUCGGUGGCGUUGAGGAUCCCCGAGCACCCACCGGCGGGCGGCGGCCGACCAAUCCUGCAUCUGCAUCCAACUGGCGGACGUCGGUGCUUGGAUGGGAGAUAGUGUAGGGGCGGGCGACGGCAGUUGGGUCAUGGGUGAGAGAUGGGAGGGUCGGCGGCCGGCGGUCGCGCUUGAGCAGCCGGGAUCUGGCAGAGGGUGGCGCUUGGGAACGGGACUGCGAAGUGACGGAGAGAUGACCAGUGGAGAUUUUUUAGAUGAGACGGAAUGGACGGAUGGAUGGAGUUCUACCUCAAAUUCACGGUCUCAAAUUGACGGUUAGAUACAUCGAUGAACUUCUUCUCUCUAGUUCCUUUCUAUUUUCUCGAACCAUACAUGAGAUGGAAUGAUACUUAAUUAGCUGGGUAAAUUUGACCCGUCUCCUAGGGAAAUUUCUUAGGAUAAGGUCUUGUUUAGUUCCAAAUUUUUUUGCAAAAUAGGAAUAGUAACACUUUCGUUUGUAUUUGACAAAUAUUGUCCAAUCAUAAACUAACUAGAUUCAAAAGAUUCGUCUCGUCAAUUCCGACCAAACUGUGCAAUUAAUUUUUAUUUUCAUCUAUAUUUAAUACUCCAUGCAUGCGUCUAAAGAUUUGAUGUGACGGGAAAUUUGAAAAAUUUUGCAAUUUUUUUUUUAACUAAACAAGGCCUACAUUGUUACAAUCUUUGGCCCCAUAUUUCGUCUCAUGUAAUGCCAUGUAAAUUUUUUGUCGAUACAGAGAAAAGAGAUAAGAGAAGAGCACGAAGCAACACCUCGUAAAGCUAAUAGGAAUAUGAGACAAGUAUUGUACUAUUGUUUAUGUGUAAAUUAAAGAAUUAUGAGUUACCAUGAGACAAUUUAAAGACAAC
rnacentral:lncRNA from 1 species